rnacentral:rRNA from 1 species
GUGCCAGCAGCCGCGGUAAUACGGAGGAUGCAGGCGUUAUCCGGAUUUAUUAGGUUUAAAGGGUGCGCAGGCGGGAUAUUAAGUCGGCGGUGAAAUACCGUAGCCCAACUACGGGGCUGCCGUCGAUACUGAUAACCUUGAGUCCUGGCGAGGUGAGCGGAAUGUGGAGUGUAGCGGUGAAAUGCAUAGAUAUUCCACAGAACACCGAUUGCGAAGGCAGCUCACCAGCCUCAGACUGACGCUCAUGCACGAAAGCGCGGGUAGCGAACAGGAUUAGAUACCCUGGUAGUCCGCGCGGUAAACGAUGAUCACUUAUUGUUCGCAUGAUAUAGAUGCGAGUGACCAAGCGAAAGCGAUAAGUGAUCCACCUGGGGAGUACGGCGGCAACGCUGAAACUCAAAGGAAUUGACGGGGGCCCGCACAAGCGGAGGAACAUGUGGUUUAAUUCGAUGAUACGCGAGGAACCUUACCCGGGCUCAAACGUAUUAUGACAGCUUCAAAAAUGGAGUCUCCCUUCGGGGCAUAAUACGAGGUGCUGCAUGGUUGUCGUCAGCUCGUGCCGUGAGGUGUCGGGUCAAGUCCCGUAACGAGCGCAACCCUUGCUGAUAGUUACUAACGGUUCAAGCCGAGGACUCUAUCAGGACUGCCGCCGUAAGGUGCGAGGAAGGUGGGGAUGACGUCAAAUCAGCACGGCCCUUACGUCCGGGGCGACACACGUGUUACAAUGGCCGGUACAGAGAGUUGCAACCUGGUGACAGGGAGCCAAUCUAUAAAGCCGGUCUCAGUUCGGACUGGAGUCUGGAACUCGACUCCACGAAGCUGGAUUCGCUAGUAAUCGCGCAUCAGCCAUGGCGCGGUGAAUACGUUCCCGGGCCUUGUACACACCGCCCGU